rnacentral:rRNA from 1 species
CUGCUGCCUUCCGUAGGAGUCUGGUCCGUGUCUCAGUACCAGUGUGGGGGACCUUCCUCUCAGAACCCCUACGCAUCGUCGCCUCGGUGGGCCGUUACCCCGCCGACUAGCUAAUGCGACGCAUGGCCAUCCUAUGCCGGAGUCGCCUCCUUUGACCCCCUGGAGAUGUCUCCAAAUGGUGUUAUGCGGUAUUAGACGGAAUUUCUUCCGCUUAUCCCCCUGCAUAGGGCAGGUUCCAUACGUGUUACUCACCCGUGCCGG